rnacentral:pre_miRNA from 7 species
GCCACUGGACCCCUCCGCUCUGCUGUGGCCUAUGGCUUUUCAUUCCUAUGUGAUUGCUGCUCCGAACUCAUGUAGGGCUAAAAGCCAUGGGCUACAGUGAGGGGCAAGCUCCUGCACAGCU